rnacentral:misc_RNA from 1 species
UCCGAGUUGACCCCGGCAGUCUCCUGCGAGUCCCCGCCAUUACGCGCUGGCAACACAGGACAAGGGUUGCGCUCGUUGCGGGACUUAACCCAACAUCUCACGACACGAGCUGACGACAGCCAUGCACCACCUGUAUACCGACCACAAGGGGGGCCGUAUCUCUACGGCUUUCCGGUAUAUGUCAAACCCAGGUAAGGUGGGGAUGACGUCUCUGUACCAUAGA